AAAUCGGACCAGCCGAUGGAUAGUCAGUAAAGAAUCAGAAUUACCUGGAAAGGUAAGCCGGAGAGGGUGACAGCCCCGUACGAGUAGAAAAGCUGACUGUUCUUGAGUAAGGCGGAGCACGAGAAAUUCUGUCUGAAAAUGGGGAGACCACUCUCCAAGGCUAAGUACUACUGAUUGACCGAUAGUGAACAAGUACCGUGAGGGAAAGGUGAAAAGCACCCCUAUAAGGGGAGUGAAAGAGAACCUGAAACCGGAUGCCUACAAGCAGUCGGAGGGUCUAUAAGGCCUGACGGCGUACCUUUUGUAUAAUGGGUCAGCGACUUAAUUUAUGUAGCAAGCUUAAGCCGAUAGGUGUAGGCGUAGAGAAAUCGAGUGUUAACAGCGCGUUAAGUUACAUGAAUUAGACCCGAAACCGAGUGAUCUAGCCAUGAUCAGGUUGAAGGUUGGGUAACACCAACUGGAGGACCGAACCCACUCCCGUUGAAAAGGUAGGGGAUGAAUUGUGGCUAGGGGUGAAAGGCCAAUCAAACUCGGAAAUAGCUGGUUCUCCGCGAAAACUAUUUAGGUAGUGCGGUGAGCGGACACCUUGAGGGGUAGAGCACUGGAAGAGCUAAGGGGGAGCGAUCCUUACUAAACUUUACCAAACUCCGAAUACUCAAGAGUGAUACUCACCAGACAGACAUUAGGUGCUAAGGUCUAGUGUCGAGAGGGAAAGAGCCCAGACCGCCAAUUAAGGUCCCAAAAUUAUGGCUAAGUGGUAAAGGAAGUGAAACGUCCAAAACAGUCAGGAGGUUGGCUUAGAAGCAGCCAUCCUUUAAAGAAAGCGUAAUAGCUCACUGAUCUAAACAAGACGUCUUGCGCCGAAGAUGUAACGGGGCUAAAGCCAUAUACCGAAGUUGCGGAUUUACACGUUAAAGUGUAAGUGGUAGCGGAGCGUUCUGUAAGCCUGCGAAGGUGUACCGUAAGGUAUGCUGGAGGUAUCAGAAGUGAGAAUGCUGACAUGAGUAGCGAAAAGAAGAGUGAGAGACUCUUCCGCUGAAAGUCCAAGGUUUCCUGCGUAAAGCUAAUCUGCGCAGGGUUAGUCGGUCCCUAAGGCGAGGCAGAGAUGCGUAGUCGAUGGCAAUCAGGUUAAUAUUCCUGAACCGGCCCGGAAGUGACGGAUUGAGUAAAUUGUAAGUUCUUAUUGGAUUGAGCUUGCAGUGAAUCAGUCCCAGGAAAUAGCCCGGGCUAAGACCGUACCCGAAACCGACACAGGUGGACAGGUAGAGAAUACCAAAGCGCUUGAGAGAACUAUGUUGAAGGAACUAGGCAAAAUACUUGCGUAACUUCGGGAUAAGCAAGCCCCAUUUUAAGGCAACUUAGGGUGGGGGGCACAUACUAGGGGGUAGCGACUGUUUACUAAAAACACAGGGCUCUGCUAAAUUGAAAGAUGAAGUAUAGGGUCUGACGCCUGCCCGGUGCUGGAAGGUUAAGGAGAGAUGUGCAAGCAUUGAACUGAAGCCCCAGUAAACGGCGGCCGUAACUAUAACGGUCCUAAGGUAGCGAAAUUCCUUGUCGGGUAAGUUCCGACC
rnacentral:rRNA from 1 species